GACGAACGCUGGCGGCGUGCUUAACACAUGCAAGUCGAACGGAAAGGCCCCAGCUUGCUGGAGUACUCGAGUGGCGAACGGGUGAGUAACACGUGGGUAAUCUGCCCUGCACUCUGGGAUAAGCCUGGGAAACUGGGUCUAAUACUGGAUAUGACCUUUCUCCUUAUGGGGUUUGGUGGAAAGUUUUUCGGUGUAGGAUGAGCCCGCGGCCUAUCAGCUUGUUGGUGGGGUGAUGGCCUACCAAGGCGACGACGGGUAGCCGGCCUGAGAGGGUGAUCGGCCACAUUGGGACUGAGAUACGGCCCAGACUCCUACGGGAGGCAGCAGUGGGGAGUAUUGCACAAUGGGCGGAAGCCUGAUGCAGCGACGCCGCGUGAGGGAUGACGGCCUUCGGGUUGUAAACCUCUUUCAGCAGAGACGAAGCGUAAGUGACGGUACCUGCAGAAGAAGCACCGGCUAACUAUGUG
rnacentral:rRNA from 1 species